rnacentral:pre_miRNA from 1 species
AUGUAAGGCAGUGUGUCUUGCAGCAGGGUGAGCUUCUCUAAAAGAAAUGAAUCCUAGAUAGUUUUUGCUUCAACUCAGGCAUCUUAU